UACAACCAAUCUAGUGUGCUAGUGUGCAGUC
rnacentral:piRNA from 1 species